GAAGAGCGACGGCGUGCGGCGACUAUGGCUCUAUUCCACGUAGCGCGGUACGCAGACCCGGAGGCUUCCGGACUGGGGGAUGCAGAGGUAGAGGCGGGUAGCCGGGCACGAGUGCUGCUCGAGCGGCUGCAGAACCGAGCCCGUGAGCGGCAGCAGCAGGAACCGAAGCCUGAACCCGCCAGGGAGGCCGCGGAAGCGGCAGGCAGGCGGCGUCGACGGCCCCGGCGGCGGCGUGGCUGCUCUGUGGCUCAAAGCCCGGAGGCUCCUAGGGCGAAGCGGCAGAAAGCGGACUACAGUGUGCAUGCAGGUGGGCCGUGUGGCCGAGAUGUGGACGGGGCUUGGAGUCUUUUUCCUGGGUGCGCUGCGGGGUUGAUGUCCCCUCUGUUGUUGUGUCGCGCAGGGAGAGGCGAAGCGUCGCCUGGAGAGCUCAACACCGACUUAGAGGACUCAGGUGAGAAGCCCCCAGAGGAGGCCCCGAGACCCCCGGCUCCAGGGCCUGUGCUGGGGAACUUUGCAAGAAGGAAGACACCGAAGGUUCAGCCUUUCCUGCCAGCAUGGCUGGCAAAGCCAAGCUGUGUCAAGAAGAGCGUCACUGAGGAUCUUACUCCUAUCGAAGACAUCCAUGAGGUUCACCCUGACUUGCAGAAGCAGCUGAGGGCUAAUGGCAUCUCCUCCUACUUUCCAGUCCAGGCAGCUGUGAUUCCUGCCCUCUUGGAGAGUGUAGAUAGUGGGUUUCUAGUAGGCAGAGGUGGAUACCAACCUAGUGACCUCUGUGUGUCUGCCCCAACGGGCAGUGGGAAAACACUGGCCUUCGUUGUCCCUGUGGUACAAGCCCUGCUGCAUCGAGUGGUCUGCCACAUCCGUGCACUGGUUGUGCUUCCUACUAAGGAGCUGGCCCAACAGGUGAGCAAAGUAUUCAACAUCUACACAGACACCACACCUCUGCGGGUUGCUUUGGUGACUGGACAGAAGUCACUGGCCAAGGAGCAGGAGAGCCUUGUCCAGAAGACGGUAGAUGGUUACCAAUGCCUGGCUGAUAUUGUGGUGGCCACACCUGGCCGCCUGGUGGACCACAUUGACCAGACCCCAGGAUUCAGCCUCCAGCAGCUCCGUUUCCUGAUCAUUGAUGAGGCUGACCGGAUGAUAGACAGCAUGCACCAGUCCUGGCUGCCCCGAGUAGUGGCAGCAGCCUUCUACAGUGCAGGCCCCUCAGGCUCCUAUGCCCUACUCCAGAGGACACAGCCCCAGGCUGUGACUGCUGCCAGCACUUGCUCUCCCCAGAUGCCUCUACAGAAGUUACUGUUCUCAGCCACACUGACCCAGAACCCUGAGAAGCUGCAGCGGCUUGGCCUCUACCAGCCAAGGCUUUUUUCCACAAAGCUGGGACACAGUGGCCCUAAAGACACAGUUGAGAUGGAUGGAAACUUUGGGGGGAAGUACACCUUCCCUGUGGGGCUCACGCACCACUAUGUACCCUGUAAACUCAGCUCGAAGCCACUUAUUGUCUUACACCUGGUCCUUGGGAUGAACUUCUCAAGGGCCCUUUGCUUCACUAACUCUCGAGAGAAUUCCCACAGGCUCUUCCUGUUAACACAAGCUUUUGGGGGUGUGAGUGUGGCUGAAUUCUCCUCCCGCUAUGGACCUGGCCAAAGGAAAAAAAUCUUGAAGCAGUUUGAACAGGGAAAGAUCCAGCUCCUUAUCAGUACAGAUGCUACUGCUCGAGGCAUCGACGUGAAGGGUGUGGAGCUGGUGAUCAACUAUGAUGCCCCCCAGUACCUGCGAACUUAUGUGCAUAGGGUUGGGAGAACAGCCCGAGCUGGAAAAACAGGCCAGGCCUUCACACUUCUCCUGAAAGUGCAGGAAAGGAAGUUCCUCCAGAUGGUAUCAGAAGCUGGGGUGCCUGAGGUGGCACACCAUGAGAUCCCCAGGGAGCUCCUGCAGCCCCUGGUCCCUCAUUACGAGAUGGCCUUGUCUCAGCUAGAGAAGAUUGUCAAGAAACAGCUAUCUGGUUGAAAAAUGGAUGAAAGUAACUGCCAAAAAUGAAGACCCUGCCUCUUGCUCCCACCAACCACCUGGCUUGGGCACACUGAAGUAUGCUGCCACAACAGUGGGAAGGAUGGAGAAAAAGGUCUCUGUGCACUCUACCUGUUGAGAAGCUGAUGCAACCUGCUGGAUGCUGGCCACAGGUGUUUGUUGCUGUACAACUUGAGGAAGUUUUGCAACCUUUGACAAAACAUGGCGAGCAUAGGAUUCAAAACACAUGCACAAAUAACUUUCUCUGCUUUUCAGCAAACAAAUAAUGGCAGGUAACAUGGAGAAACAAUCAUGAAGCCACAACCUCUGGGGUGGAUUUCUUUCUGUUUCAUGUAUGUGUGUAUGUCUGUGCAAAUUGAGUGCAGGUACUAUAGAGGCAAGAAAGAAGGGACUGGGUCUCCUAAACUGGAAUUACACAGAGAGCGUUUCUCUGUGUAGCUUUGGAGCCUUUUCUGGUCCAGAGCCUUUCCAACUCUGUAGUGCAGGCUGGCCUCAAACUCCCAGAAAUCCAGCUGUCCCUCCCUCCCCAGCGCCGGGAUUACAGGCAUGCACCGCCCAGUUCCAGGACAGACUUUAGUCAGAAAGAAGACUGGAUGCUCUAGUAGCUCGUCUAAAGACAUCAUUGAGUGAGAAGAAACGCACACACAAAUGUCACCAGAGCAACUUAUGUCUAGACUGAAAACUAGCCUGGCAGACAACUUGACAGGUAUGUCAGAGGAGACUUGAAAGUCAAUAAACCAGGAAAAGAUGAAAUCUCAUCAAUUACCCAAAACACAAGCUAAAAAAGUAACCAAGUUUCUCCUGUUCCAAACCACCAGACAGGGAGGUCUGGAAUCCAGGUGGACCUGCACAAACAAACCCACAGCCAGGCAAUGACACUGUAUAUCUGUGACAACAGUGGCAUGGACCAUCUGUGCACAUGCACACACAGUCAGACAGUCUCUCUCUCUCUCUCUCUCUCACUCACUCACACACACAUCAUCUGUGCACAUGUACACACAGUCAGUCUCUCACACACACACUAACACAUGAGCACACGAAAGAAGUUGGUAUUAGCAACAGCAUAAGUCUGAGACCUCACUCAUGAGACUCCCCUAUGUUCUGAAACCAGAAAGGGCCCUGCAGAAAAGGUCAAGCACUGGUUAGCCACACUGGCUGGGUGCUGCUACUCUUCCACAGGCCCUACCAUCUGCACUGAGUUGCACACAGCAGCAUGCUUACCUGGAUUUGCGUCUGCACCUGCUGAGUCCCAGCCAGUUUCUGGGCCUGGGAGAUGGGUGUGGUCAGAAACUGGGUUUUAAGGGCUGGCUGGGCAGCAUAGGUGACUUUCUGCUGUGGGCCCUGAGCAGUGAUCUGCUGGGUGGUUAGCUGAAGAAAAGACACCAGAGGAUCAGAGCCAGGUGAAACCAGGUUCCCUAUUUAAACCCUCAACAGAUGCCAAGAGCCUCUUCACAGCACCUUUUAGGUAACAAGGUCAAGACCGUCCCAAGAUACUGGCAUUGCCCUACUUUUCUUCCGUAGGGGUGGUACCACUAGUAAACACACUAAGCACAGAAGAGGGCAGUGUUCCCUGCCCUGAACUCACACUCCGCGUGAACUCCAGUCUGGUAAAUCCAUACCUGUCAUUCAGCUUGAUUCUACCCACCCUACCAUCAUCCCUUACAUCUCAAAAGGAAAAACAAGGGACACUGACCAUACUAGCAACUCCACCCUUGUGAGCUUGUAGCCCGUUUACUCUAGAUCCUCCUCCCCAGCAAAAACCUGCACUCGAGUAAAACAUCACACAAAGAACCCAUACCUUCUGCUGGACGGCAGCCUGGCCCUGGGCAACUUGUGGCUGGAUGGCCUUCUGCUGCUGGACUGCCUGCUGCUUGAGCUUCAGCAAUUGUUGGACAUGUACAGGUUGGGCCACGACAGUCUGCCCUAUAAGAACACCUAGUCAGUUAGGUCCUGGCAAGGGUUCCCUGUUUAUCCAGGUUCUGUUCAGAAAAGAAUAAAUUCUAGA